UACGGGGGGGGCAAGCGUUGUUCGGAAUUACUGGGCGUAAAGGGCUCGUAGGCGGCCAACUAAGUCAGACGUGAAAUCCCUCGGCUUAACCGGGGAACUGCGUCUGAUACUGGAUGGCUAGAGUUUGGGAGAGGGAUGCGGAAUUCCUGGUGUAGCGGUGAAAUGCGCAGAUAUCAGGAGGAACACCGAUGGCGAAGGCAGCUCGCUGGGACGGUACUGACGCUGAGACGCGAAAGCGUGGGGAGCAAACAGG
rnacentral:rRNA from 1 species